CAAGUUUGACCUCAAAUCAGGUAGGAAUACCCGCUGAACUUAAGCAUAUCAAUAAGCGGAGGAAAAGAAACCAACAGGGAUUGCCUUAGUAGCGGCGAGUGAAGCGGCAAAAGCUCAAAUUUGAAAUCUGGCGCCUUCGGUGUCCGAGUUGUAAUUUGAAGAUUGUAACCUUGGGGUUGGCUCUUGUCUAUGUUUCUUGGAACAGGACGUCACAGAGGGUGAGAAUCCCGUGCGAUGAGAUGCCCAAUCCUAUGUAAGGUGCUUUCGAAGAGUCGAGUUGUUUGGGAAUGCAGCUCUAAGUGGGUGGUAAAUUCCAUCUAAAGCUA
rnacentral:rRNA from 1 species